AACGGCCAUACCAUGCUGAAUAUACCGGUUCUCGUUAGAUCACCGAAGUCAAGCAUCAUUGGGCGCGGUCAGUACUUGGGUGGGUGACCACCUGGAAACACCGCGUGCCGUUG
rnacentral:rRNA from 1 species